GCAUUGAUGGUGUAGCGGUAACAUGCGGUCUUCCCAACAGGGUGGCCGCGCUCCGAGUUCGACUCUCGGUCAAUGCA